CUCCAAAGUGACCAAUGACCGCCUGUGGUCACUCCAAAGUGACCAAUGACCGCCUGUGGUCACUCUGUGUCCAUCACUGACCGCCCGCGGUCACUCUUGGUCACUCUGCGGCCACCUCAAGGCCACCCUUGACCCCCUUUGUCCACCCCAAAGUGACCACUGACCACUCUAGAGUGACCAUUGGUCACUUGUGGUCAUCUUGACCACCCCAGAGUGACCACUGAGUGCCCAGAGUGACCACUGAGUGCCCAGAGUGACCACUGCCCACCACUGACCAUCGGUGACCACCUCAAAGUGACCACUGGUCAUUCAUGGUCACUUUAAAUGACCACUGGUCACUCCUGGUCACUCCAAAGUGACCACUGGUCACUCUUGACCGGUCACGGCCACCCAAAACUGACCAUUGGUCACUCGUGGCACCUCAGAGUGACCACUGGUCACUCCUGACCACUUGUGGUCACUCUAAGGUGACUCCUGGUCACCCAUUGGUCACUCUAAAGUGACCACUGACCAUCCCAGGCCAUCCUUGACCACCCCAAAGUGACCACUGACCACCCAGAGUGACCACUGACCGUCACUGACCACCCAGAGUGACCACUGGUCACUCCUGUUCAUUCCAAAGUGACCAUUGGUCACUCGUGGUCACUCUAAAUGACCAGUGGUCACUCUAAGGUCGCCCCAAAGUGACCAGUGGUCACUUCCAGCAAGCUUGACGACCCCAAAGUGACCACUGGUCAUUCUAAGGCCACCACUGGUCACUCUUGGUCACUCCAAAGUGACCAUUGGUCACUCGUGGCCACCCAAAACUGACCAUUGGUCACUCGUGGUCACUCUUGACCAGUUCUGGUCACUCAUGGUCACUCCCAGGCCACC
rnacentral:lncRNA from 1 species